rnacentral:rRNA from 1 species
AUGAGCCAUCAGAUCGAUCUGAAGACGAGCGCCUGCACCAUGGCCGCCGCCGGCGACGACGACGACUGGGUGUACAUCGACGGUGACCAAGACACGAAGGCUUCACCGGCGCCGGCGCUAUGUGCCUCUGAUAGCCUCGAGGAGUCGGAGCAUUGCGAUCUCGACUACCUCACAAGGAAAAAGGAUUCCCGGAUCAGGAUGGAUGUCCGCGCCCCGGCGCCUGACGAUGCUGCGACGGAGGUGGUGGCGCCUACCGCGGACGCCGUCGGUGAUGGCGCUGUGGAUGACGCCGACGCCGUGGAAGACGAAGACGGCUGCUCUGACUACUCCAACGGAGUUCGCCUCGAGAAAGCCUACGAGUCGGACCAAGACCUAGGUCAAGUCGACGACGAGUCUGAGCGGCAUGAGGAUGGGGCGUCCGACCUGAGGCUGAGGGGACUGCUCGACAACCUCAAGACCAUCGAAAGUAAACUGCUCCACUGCCAGAGGGAACUGCUGGACUGCCAAAAAUCCAUCCAAGACCACCGCAAGCCACCCCCGCACCGGCACCGGCGCCGUCAGCGCACGGCUACAACUCUCGCCACUCAGCCUAUAUGA